rnacentral:tRNA from 1 species
GCGGGCGGGCCUCAAAUCCAGCGGGGGUUCCUUGCGCAAGGUGGUUC